AUUGGCUUACCAUCCCAACUUGUGCCAGACCACCCAGGAUGCUGAAGGCCGCCACUACCCUGGUUUCUUCUGUCCCCGGCUCUCUGAUACUCCCGAGGAAGCCUACUGCUGUCACCUGCAGGCUGCAGGGGGCUACUGCUGUACCCAGGAUGAAUUUGAGGCCCUAUACCAAGUCAACCUGUCUGCUCUUCCUCCGCCACCCAUCCUUAGGGGCCCGGGUGCUUUCCUAGCCCUGGGCCUCUACAGCCU
rnacentral:lncRNA from 1 species